rnacentral:rRNA from 1 species
UGCGCAGGCUGUAAAGCAAGUCAGUGGUGAAAGCCCUGGGCUUAACUCAGGGAUUGCCAUUGAAACUGUUCUACUAGAGUGUAGUAGAGGACGGCGGAAUGAGUUGUGUAGCGGUGAAAUGCAUAGAUAUAACUCAGAACACCUAUUGCGUAGGCAGCUGUCUAUACUACAACUGACGCUGAGGCACGAAAGCGUGGGGAGCGAACAGGAUUAGAUACCCUGGUAGUCCACGCUGUAAACGAUGAUCACUCGUUGUUGGCUACUUAGUAGUCAGUGACCAAGGGAAACCGAUAAGUGAUCCACCUGGGGAGUACGUCGGCAACGAUGAAACUCAAAGGAAUUGACGGGGGCCCGCACAAGCGGAGGAACAUGUGGUUUAAUUCGAUGAUACGCGAGGAACCUUACCUGGGCUUAAAUGCUGGCUGCAUUGGAGGGAAACCUUCAUUUCCUACGGGACCGCCAGCAAGGUGCUGCAUGGUUGUCGUCAGCUCGUGCCGUGAGGUGUCGGGUUAAGUCCCAUAACGAGCGCAACCCCUAUCGCUAGUUGCCAGCAUGUAAUGGUGGGGACUCUAGCGAGACUGCCGGUGUAAACCGGAGGAAGGUGGGGAUGACGUCAAAUCAGCACGGCCCUUACGUCCAGGGCUACACACGUGUUACAAUGGCCGGUACAAAGAGCAGCCACCUGGCGACAGGGCGCUAAUCUCUAAAACCGGUCUCAGUUCGGAUCGAAGUCUGCAAUUCGACUUCGUGAAGGUGGAUUCGCUAG